AGUGCAGACGAUGACCUCAGAUCGACUCAUGGUAGAUUGUCGAACAUUCCAUCAGGUCACGAUGCUUUCUAGCGGACCAAAAUAGAACAGGAGAAGACUAAUUGCGCUAAUAAUGCUUUCGCUGGAUACUACACGUUUCCCUAAGUUUCAUUGAUGUGCUGGAUUUACAGCCUCGGCGAACCACCCCCUCCUUUUUUUUUACCCCCUGUCUGACGUACAUACAGUGACGCCAUCCUCUUUAGGAGUGGAAAUACCAUAUUAUAACAUGGAGCCACUGCGUGUCCUUGUCUGAGCACGGUGUGAUGCUGAGGAAAGAACAUGCACUCUCUGACCAGAUAGAGGAGACGACAUCGACUCUGACCAGAUAACAACUGACGACAUCAAACUGUAUUUCACUCAUAAAUAAGCCGAUGUAGAGGGCUUCCAGUUAAGACAUUUUCUGUACUAUGCUGUAGUGCUGAAAUUGGCUCCUUGAGUUCGCAAGUAAAAAACGAACUUGAAGAUA